GAGGAAUUUUCCGCAAUGGUCGCAAGACUGACGGAGCAACGCCGCGUGCAGGAGGACGCUUUUCGGAGUGUAAACUGCUUUUCUGUGGGAAGAGGAUGGACGGUACCACAGGAAGAAGCCCCGGCUAACUACGUGCCAGCAGCCGCGGUAAUACGUAGGGGGCGAGCGUUGUCCGAAUUUACUGGGCGUAAAGCGCGCGUAGGCGGCUAUUUAAGUUUGGGGUGAAAGGUUCGACGCUCAACGUGAACAGUGCCUUGGAUACUGGGUGGCUUGAGUCUGGGAGAGGGUAGCGGAAUUCCUGGUGUAGCGGUGAAAUGCGUAGAUAUCAGGAGGAACACCGGUGGCGAAGGCGGCUACCUGGCCUAAGACUGACGCUGAGGUGCGAAAGCGUGGGGAGCGAAC
rnacentral:rRNA from 1 species